ensembl:lncRNA
AUUUAGAUCAGAUUCCUUAGGCUAAAUCAUGCAUCUAUUCUGAGUUUGUCUUUUAUAGAAUUACUAGAAUCACAACAUGGUCACAGUGUAUGCUAUGGUAAAGUUUUCUGAUGACAGUAUGCUUCUGAAUUCACUGGAUAAAGAUCAGUGUGGUAUUGUUUAUAUUUCAUUCUUUCUAGGAGGAGGAGAUGGUGGAUGGCAUCUUAAAGCCCCUUUUAAAUAUUCAAACGUACAAAGGCUCAGGCCAGGGGUUGGCAAAUUUUUCCUGUAAAGAGCCAGCUAAUAAAUAUUUUAGUCUUAACAGGCUACAUAGUCUGUCACACGGCUACACAGUUCUACAAUUGUAGUUCGAAAGCAGCAGUAGCAGUGGGUAGAAAAUCUGGAAAUGAGUGGGCAUGGCCAUGUUCAAUAGCACUGGCGGGGAUGGGAAGAAGGUUUGACUAAGUCUAAUUUGCUGACCUCUGCAGAGGGAAUUCGAAGACUGGGAAGGUUCCCUGCAGGGCACUUGUGUGAGCUUCAGUUUCUGUCUGCACGCCCUUUAAUUGUCUGAGACUCGAUGGUGAUGACGCUGGUGCUUAUCUUCUAGAGUUGCUGGGAGGAUUAGAUGAGCUGAUAGUAGGUGCACCUAAAUGGUACCACAUCUGGCCAAGAAACGGACCUCUCAGGUGAUCAUUUGGAUGUUUUAUCCUCACCCGCACUCUCGCCUCACCCACCGGCAGGCUCAGGUGAGUGGAACGUGCGAGGCAGCAGGGCUGGUGGAGAUGGGAGAGCAAUGUCCCACUUAAGGAGCACUCUGAUGCUGAGCCCCAGGCCACUCUUCUCAUGUGAGGCAGGGCUCUUCUUACCGCCAGGUCUUCUGAGCUUUCAGGAGAGGACAGAAAUCUGUAUUUUAAGUAAAAGAUUCCACUUUCAAAACUUUUGCAAACUAUUUAAAAUUUUAAAACAUGGUAGGAGCUUGGAAAUGAUCCACGUAUAAGGGUCAGGAGGCGCCACUAUAUGACCUUUGGUGCACAAUUCCCAGGGUCAGGGUACUAUGUAAAUGGUAUAGUUCAGGGACUUGGAAGGAAGGUAAUGUCAAUAUGCAGCCAGGCCUCACACAUCCCGUGCUUAAGUGCUAAGCUCUCAGGACUUCAAUUAACCGUCACAACAACUGGAUUCGUUUACUGAGUAGAUACUAAUGAGGGUCCUCUGUUCUAGGCACUGGUCUGCACAAAGGGCAUCUAACAGGAAACGGGACAGAAAAAAAGCCCCUGCCUUCAUGGAGCUUUUAUUCCAUGAGAUCAGUAAGGUUCAUAAAAAUACACGCAGAGGAUGCACCUCCCCGGUAUUCCAGUGGUUACGAUUUCACCUUCCAUUGCAGGGGGUUCGAGUUCAGUCCCUGGUUGGGCAGCUAAGACCCCACGUGCCUCAGGGCCAAAACCCCAAACCAUAAAACAGAAGCAAUAUUGUAACAAAGUCAAUAAAGACUUUAAAAAUUGUCUGCAUCAAAGAAUCUUAAAAAAUAAAAAAGAAUAUAUGUGGAGGAACUAGUAAUGAAGAGUGACCUUUAGAGGAAAUGAUGCUGAGAGCCAAAUCAUUUCUUCCUGGAGUUGCAAAGGGUAACAGAAUUAUCAGCAAACAUGAAGGAUUGUAAUAGGAAGACUACAAAUUAAUGACAUAGAGACGUCACUGACUGGCUGUGCUCUGGGUUCCCUGAGGAUAAGUAGGAGGAAACCAAAUCCAUUUCCAGGGCAGGGCUUUAAGUAAGGUUCCACGAAGAACUUCCCAAGAGCAUGGUUGUCAAAGAGAAGCAGGUGGCUGAAGCUGAUUGAGAACUCUCUUCCCUGGAGAGCUUUAGGAGUGGUGAAGUCUACAUUCAUCCAAACAGAGUCUCUUCGUGGAGGCCGGGAAUUGGACUGGAGCCAGGAGGCCCGAGAACCUGGGUGAAAGAUUGUAAACUUCUAAAUUUCUGACUUAGGUCUACAGAGUCAUCGUCUUUAAAGUUAAAAACAGUCUGUGCCUAGAAAGAUCUCUUCUCUCAUAGAUGAAGCUCCAUGGAUGAGCUCAUAAGCGGACAUCCUCCCGCUGGUGCGGCAUCGUCUAUACCUGUGCUGUGAGGGGAGCAGACCUGUGCUUAAGGCAGAAGGAAGUAUGCGGUGCAAGACAGUGGCCGAUCCCGGAGGAGGCGAGGGUUCUGUUUCCAUAAGAGGCGUCAGCUGCCGGGAUCGCAGAACAACAGACGUCCCUGCAAGGGUAGAAGCUGACCAGUGCAUAAUGGAUUCUCCCCAGCACCUGCCCACGAGGGCACAAUCUGAUCUUCCCGUAGUGAAUGUGAGUCUUGGAUAACUGUAUCUUCUUCACGUGCUCUGAUUCUCCAGCAAAGCUUAGGUUCAGCCCCUGAGAAGUGGGCAAAUCAGAUGGCUUUGUCUAGAGUCAUCAUCCCGAUACCUUGUCUCAUUCCUAUCCACUUUGAGAAAGUGUUCGUUUAUUUUAUUUUUGGCUGCACGCGGGCCUCCUCUGCUGGUGGUGGCGGGCUUCUCAUUGCAGAGGCUUGCUGUAGAGCUCGGCCUCCACGGCGCAUGCGCAUCCGUAGUUGUGCACAUGGACUCAGUCGUUUAGGCACUCAGGUUUCCUUGCUCUGCGGCAUGUGGCAUCUUCCCAGACCAGGGAUCAAGCUGAUGUCUCCUGGAUUGCAAGGCAGAUUCUUAACCCCUGGACCACCCAGGGAGGCCCCUAUCUACUUUUUAAUAUGAACCGGGAAUAUGAUAGUAGAUGACU